GACGAACGCUGGCGGCGUGCUUAACACAUGCAAGUCGUACGGUAAGGCCCUUUCGGGGGUACACGAGUGGCGAACGGGUGAGUAACACGUGAGUAACCUGCCCACAACUUUGGGAUAACGCUAGGAAACUGGUGCUAAUACUGGAUAUGUGCCCCUGCUGCAUGGUGGGGGUUGGAAAGCUCCGGCGGUUGUGGAUGGACUCGCGGCCUAUCAGCUUGUUGGUGGGGUAGUGGCCUACCAAGGCGGCGACGGGUAGCCGGCCUGAGAGGGUGACCGGCCACAUUGGGACUGAGAGACGGCCCAGACUCCUACGGGAGGCAGCAGUGGGGAAUAUUGCACAAUGGGCGCAAGCCUGAUGCAGCAACGCCGCGUGCGGGAUGACGGCCUUCGGGUUGUAAACCGCUUUCAGCAGGGACGAAGCUUUUUGUGACGGUACCUGCAGAAGAAGCACCGGCUAACUACGUG
rnacentral:rRNA from 1 species